rnacentral:rRNA from 1 species
UACGGAGGGUGCAAGCGUUAUCCGGAUUUAUUGGGCGUAAAGAGCUCGUAGGCGGCUUUACAGGUCCGUUGUGAAAACUCGAGGCUCAACCUCGAGACGCCGGUGGAAACCGUAAGGCUAGAGUCCGGAAGAGGAGAGUGGAAUUCCUGGUGUAGCGGUGAAAUGCGCAGAUAUCAGGAAGAACACCCGUGGCGAAGGCGGCUCUCUGGGACGGUACUGACGCUGAGACGCGAAAGCGUGGGGAGCGAACAGG